CGCUGGCGGCGUGCUUAACACAUGCAAGUCGAACGGAAAGGCCUGCUUUGUGGGGUGCUCGAGUGGCGAACGGGUGAGUAACACGUGAGUAACCUGCCCUUGACUUUGGGAUAACUUCAGGAAACUGGGGCUAAUACCGGAUAGGAGCUCCUGCUGCAUGGUGGGGGUUGGAAAGUUUCGGCGGUUGGGGAUGGACUCGCGGCUUAUCAGCUUGUUGGUGGGGUAGUGGCUUACCAAGGCUUUGACGGGUAGCCGGCCUGAGAGGGUGACCGGCCACAUUGGGACUGAGAUACGGCCCAGACUCCUACGGGAGGCAGCAGUGGGGAAUAUUGCACAAUGGGCGGAAGCCUGAUGCAGCAACGCCGCGUGCGGGAUGACGGCCUUCGGGUUGUAAACCGCUUUCGCCUGUGACGAAGCGUGAGUGACGGUAAUGGGUAAAGAAGCACCGGCUAACUACGUG
rnacentral:rRNA from 1 species